CAGGACGAGGCGACGAUCAAAGCUGCGCGAAGUAUCAGGGAGGGCGGUUGUGUUACGCUUUCCUCGUCGGGCGAUUCGCAGAGAGUCCGGAUUCACCACAUUCGUACGUGUGUGCGCGGCGACCGGUCGAUGCGAGGGGAAACGCCGCGGUGAGAGAACGCAACGGGAAAAUGACGGCGCGUCGCUGUGUGAUUUGACAAGUGAAGAGGAAGCGCUCUCGGAUGGGAACAGUGUCUCGUUCGAAUACCGCGGUGCUUGACGCUUGUGGACUUUGAAGGUACCCCCGCCAUCCCCGGUGCAACCCUGCGUACGAGACGACCUCUUUUCUCUGCUAAUACCGGGAUCCCGAGCCCUGGACCGAGAAGCUUGGGAAUUAACGAGCGGAAGAGUAUCGGAGCGUGGGGAAGACGAGAACGAGGCGAGAAGGCAGAGAGGGUGAGUGAGAGACGAGAGGGUGGUGGUGAAUCGACGGAGCAGUCGAAGACGGGGCGAGGAUGACGGGCGAGGACGGGAAGUGCGGCGGCGCCGGCGGCGGCGGCGGCGGCGGUACCGGGACGAACGUGAACGUCAGCGACAACGCCAACAACGUGAACGUCAGCCAGCAGAACGGCGGCCCGGAAAAGGCGCCCGUCGUCGGCGGCACCAACGUGGAGACGCUGCCACGCGCCGGCAAGCAGAGCGAUCCCAGCACUGCGUUUCUACGGGCAGCUCGCGCUGGGCAGCUCGAGAAGGUCUUGGAGUACUUGGAGUCCGGAGUGGAUAUCAACGCUUCUAACGCAAAUGGCUUGAACGCUUUGCACCUGGCAGCUAAAGACGGCCACUUGGAGAUCGUGAGGGAGCUCCUAAAUCGCGGUGCGAUCGUAGACGCCGCUACUAAAAAGGGAAACACGGCGUUGCACAUAGCUUCUCUUGCUGGACAAGAGGAGGUUGUGCAAUUGUUGGUGCAACGAGGUGCCUCCGUGAAUGCACAAUCGCAAAAUGGCUUUACGCCGCUCUACAUGGCUGCCCAGGAAAAUCACGACUCUGUGGUCAAGUACCUCCUCAGCAAGGGUGCGAAUCAGACAUUGGCCACCGAGGACGGUUUCACUCCGUUGGCGGUGGCUAUGCAACAGGGUCACGACAAGGUAGUAGCCGUUCUGCUAGAAAACGACACUCGUGGUAAAGUUCGACUGCCAGCCCUACACAUCGCCGCGAAGAAAGACGACUGCAAGGCGGCCGCCCUACUUUUGCAAAACGACCAUAAUCCCGAUGUAACAUCGAAGAGCGGUUUCACGCCGCUUCACAUAGCGGCGCAUUAUGGCAACGACCGAAUCGCCUCCUUGCUUUACGACAGAGGCGCGGAUGUUAAUUUCGCGGCGAAGCACAAUAUCACACCGAUGCACGUGGCGGCGAAAUGGGGCAAAAUCAAAAUGGUGAAUCUCCUGAUGAGCAAGGGGGCGAACAUCGAAGCGAAAACGAGAGACGGUCUGACUCCUUUGCACUGCGCUGCCAGAUCCGGCCAUCACGAGGUAGUUGACAUACUCAUCGAGAAGGGGGCACCGAUCGGCUCGAAAACGAAGAAUGGUCUUGCGCCGUUGCACAUGGCUUCUCAAGGGGAUCACGUGGACGCCGCGAGGAUCUUGCUGUAUCACCGAGCUCCCGUGGACGAAGUGACGGUGGACUACCUGACCGCGUUGCAUGUCGCUGCGCACUGCGGCCAUGUGCGAGUGGCCAAACUGCUUCUGGACAGGAACGCCGAUCCCAACGCGCGGGCGCUCAAUGGAUUCACUCCCCUUCACAUCGCGUGCAAGAAGAAUAGAAUAAAGGUGGUGGAACUGCUUCUCAAGCACAAAGCUAGCAUCGAAGCUACGACUGAGUCUGGACUAACCCCAUUGCACGUAGCGAGUUUCAUGGGGUGCAUGAAUAUCGUGAUUUACUUGCUGCAACACGAGGCCAGCCCCGACAUACCGACAGUGAGAGGCGAAACGCCAUUACACUUAGCUGCCAGAGCGAACCAAACCGAUAUUAUUAGGAUACUUCUUAGGAACGGUGCCCAGGUCGACGCUCGAGCAAGAGAGGAACAGACACCGCUUCAUGUCGCUUCCCGCUUGGGUAACGUCGAUAUCGUGAUGUUACUGCUGCAACACGGUGCAGGAGUAGAUGCCACAACGAAAGAUUUAUACACUCCGCUUCAUAUCGCUGCUAAGGAGGGCCAGGAGGAGGUUGCAUCCGUAUUACUAGAAAACAGCGCAUCGCUUACCGCAACGACCAAGAAAGGAUUCACCCCCUUGCAUUUAGCGGCCAAGUACGGCAACAUGAACGUAGCGCGAUUAUUGUUACAGAAGAACGCACCCGUUGACGCUCAAGGAAAGAACGGGGUGACGCCUCUUCACGUAGCGUCCCACUACGACCAUCAGAACGUGGCUUUGCUUUUGCUCGACAAAGGAGCCUCACCUCAUGCCAUGGCUAAGAACGGACAUACACCUUUGCAUAUUGCCGCACGCAAGAAUCAGAUGGACAUCGCAACUACUUUGUUAGAGUACGGAGCAAAGGCCAAUGCGGAAUCGAAGGCGGGUUUCACGCCGUUACAUUUGAGUGCACAAGAAGGCCACACUGAUAUGUCGACUCUUCUUAUCGAGCACAAGGCGGACACAAAUCACAAAGCGAAGAAUGGCCUUACGCCUUUGCAUCUAUGCGCACAAGAAGACAAAGUGAACGUCGCAUCCAUUCUCGUGAAGAAUGGCGCCCAGAUCGACGCCAAGACCAAGGCCGGAUACACACCGUUGCACGUGGCGUCACACUUCGGCCAAGCAGCCAUGGUACGAUUCCUCCUGAGAUCCGGUGCAGCCGUUGACAGCAGCACCAAUGCCGGCUACACUCCCCUGCAUCAGGCCGCGCAGCAAGGACACACCCUGGUCAUUAAUCUGCUCUUGGAGAGUAAAGCUAAACCGAACGCCGUGACCAACAACGGGCAGACCGCUUUGGACAUCGCACAAAAACUCGGCUACAUCAGCGUCAUAGAAACGCUCAAGGUCGUCACGGAGACCAUCAUCACGACCACUCACACCGUCACCAUCGAGGAGAAGUAUCGAGUUCAAGCGCCCGAGUCUAUGCAGGAGACAUUCAUGAGCGACAGCGAGGACGAAGGGGGUGGUGAUGAAAUCGGCACCGCAGCCAUGAAUGUGUACGGGCAGCCUCCGCACGCGCAACACGUGUACCUUCCUUCUUACUACCAGGGCCAAAUGACCUAUACCCGUGAGGAUCCGAUGCUCAGCGACCAACAGCAGUAUCGAUACAUGACUGUUGACGACAUGAAAUCCAUGGGGGAUGACUCGAUGCGUGUGAACGUGACGGACGACGAGAGAGAUAAUCGACAUUCCGGAGCGCCGACCAUAACGGAGAUGAUCACGAAGGAGAAUUAUCAGCGUACGAACGCGGCCAAUCUCAAGCCGGACAAUGUGGACAUCAACAGGCACCCAGUGCACGUCGGCGCGUCCCUAGAGUCCCUAUGCACUUCGCUGGCAGCCCUCAGUACCGCGCCGAAGGGACAAGGAAUGUGGAGGGACAGCUUCCUGGUUUCCUUUCUGGUGGACGCGAGAGGCGGUGCAAUGCGCGGAUGCAGGCACAGCGGCGUCCGCGUGAUUGUUCCGCCGCGCAAAGCUGCGAUGCCCAUGCGGGUCACAUGCCGGUACUUGAGGAGGGACAAAUUAACGAAUCCACCACCCUUGAUGGAAGGGGAGGCGUUGGCCAGCCGCAUCCUCGAACUGGGGCCAGUGGGUGCAAAAUUCUUAGGCCCUGUUAUCAUCGAGGUACCACACUUCGCGUCGCUGCGUGGAAAAGAGCGGGAGAUAGUGAUUCUCCGAUCAGACAACGGGGAGACCUGGCGCGAACACACCUUGGAAGCCAGCGAGGAGGCUGUCCAGGAUGUGCUUAACGAGAGCUUUGAGGGAGAAGAGCUAAGCCAGCUGGAAGAUCUCCAGACGUCUCGCAUCGUUAGGAUACUCACCGUAGAUUUCCCACAUUACUUCGCGGUAGUAUCUCGCAUCAGACAAGAGGUACAUGCGGUUGGUCCCGAAGGCGGCACCGUAUCGUCGUCCGCCGUGCCACAAGUACAAGCUGUCUUCCCGCAAGCGGCCCUUACCAAGAAGAUCAGAGUCGGUCUGCAGGCACACCCGAUACCCGCGGAUCUCGUGGCUAAAUUACUCGGGAACCGAGUGGCAGUGUCGCCGAUCGUUACCGUCGAGCCGAGACGAAGAAAGUUCCACAAGCCGAUAACCUUAACCAUCCCGGUGCCGCAAGCGGCCAAUAAAGGCAUGAUCAACCAGUACUCCGGAGACGCGCCGACCCUGAGGCUCCUGUGCAGCAUAACUGGUCGUUCAGGGGGUCAGACUCGGGCAGUCUGGGAGGAUGUCACAGGUUCGACGCCGCUGACUUUUGUGAAAGAUUGCGUGUCCUUCACCACUACAGUCUCCGCCCGCUUCUGGCUGAUGGACUGCCGCAACAUCUCCGAGGCCACGAAAAUGGCCACGGAACUCUACACGCACGCGACCCAUGUGCCGUUCAUGGCCAAGUUCGUGGUGUUUGCGAAACGAGUCGAUCCGAUGGAGGCGAGAUUGCGCGUGUUCUGCAUGACGGACGACAAGGAGGACAAGACUCUGGAGCACCAGGAGCACUUCACGGAAGUCGCCAAGAGCAGGGAUGUGGAGGUUUUGGAAGGGAAGACGCAAUAUAUGGAGUUCACGGGCAAUCUCGUGCCUGUGCUGAAGACCGGCGAGCAGCUUCAACUGCCGUUCAGGGCGUUCAAGGAGAACAGAGUACCGUUCACCGCGAGGAUAAAGGACCCAGACGCCGCGGACAUGAUGGGUCGCAUCAUGUUCAUGAGCGAGCCCAAGGUGCCACGUGGUGAAUUACCACAAACACCCAUCUGUACGCUGAACAUCCUGUUGCCGGAGAAGAUCUCGCCGGAUACUGCGGUCUCCGAGCUCGACCUGCUCGAAUUGUCGAAGAACUACAGCUUCUUGCGCGACGGUGGAAUAAGCAGACCAGACGCCAUCCAUAGAGCGACUAUCCGUCUGACGGACAUCGCCAAUCUGCUGAAUACAGAUUGGGAACAGUUGGCGGAGGAGUUGAACAUACCGCCUAACGACGUGGCUCUAAUCAAGCAGGAGUACCCCGACAAACCCGCGCAGCAGGCCGCUGCAAUGUUCAAGAUCUGGCAGAACAACGGAAACAAAGCCACAGGAAACACGCUGGAGAAGGCGCUCAACAAGAUCGGUCGUGAGGAUAUCGUGAACAAGUGUAUCUUCAACGUCGAGUUGGUGACGGACGACGUGGAGAAGGCUGUCGCGCGAGUCAGAUUAGAUCAGCCCGGCUUUGACUCAUUGAAGGAGGAAUUGGGGCCGUCGCGAAACACAUCGCUCCGUCGUGAUGCAACGAUGGAUCCUAAGAUGGACCCUGAUUAUGAAGAGCCUGACAGAAUGAAGGACUCUGAAUCGGUCGAGGAUCUCAGUAUCACCGGCAGCGUACACGACAAACGAACCAAACAGCACGUCACAAUCACAAACGGCACUGUAUUCAACGGAACCUCGACCCCUAUCAAAGACAAAUACGCGAGCGACGAGAAAGAGCUCGGCGACAUGAUGGCCGAUUACCUUACGCACAAGUGUCACGUGGCCGACACGAUGAGCAAAAAGUCGCGCGACGAACUGGACGAUCCGGAGAAAAAACGGCAGAAAGUGAUCGCCGACGCCAACAAGAUAGUCUCUGGUGUAAUAGCAGACGCUGAGAAAGAGAAGGGGAAGUUAGCGAAGGAAGGGUGGUCGGUGGUAUAUGAUGAUGAUGCGCGGGACAGUAAAGAGGCGCGGGGUGCGGUAGGACAGACGUUAAUUAACGUACAUUUAGAUAGAACCGCCGCCGAGCCGGCGGGCAUAAUUCCGAAGGCGACCGACGAGCCGAAGGGUGUGGUUCCGAGGGCGGUCGCCGAGCAAGUGCCGUCUAUCGAGCCGCCGAUGGUUAGGCAGUACCGCGACGUUAAGCCGGAACCCAAGAUUAGCGCUUCGAAAACCGUAGUUUCCGUCAGCGACGAUCCGAAAGUAGGUCAGACGAAGGUGGUCACGACGAAGACUACCACGGUGAUCAAGCAAUUCGAUCAGACGCCGGCCAAGGUUAUCGCGAAAGAGAGCAGCGUGAUAGUUUCCCCCGAUAGAAAGGACGCCGUUAGCGAGAAGGAGAAACUCUCGAAGGAGGGCAAAGAGGUCGACGAGAAGUCGUCGGCUCCCGCGUCGCUCGCGCAGAAACCGGCGAAGGACGAUCAGAAGAAAUCGGACGUGAAAGCUCCUGUGGAUAAGGACAAGAAAAAGGAGAAAGAGAAGGUGGAGGCUGCACGAGUCGAGCAGAAAAAGCCGGACGCGAAAGCUCCUGCGGAUAAAGACAAGAAAAAGGAUAAGGAUAAAGAGAAAGACAAGGAGAAGGAUAAGGAUAAGGAUACCAAGCAGGUGAAAGCAUCUGCUUACGAAGACGUUUACAACGCGCAACAUCCUGCAGGCAGCGCGGAAGAGAAAACGGAGGAGGAGACGAAAAAGUCAAAGGACAGAGGCAGCGGAAUAUUCUCAGGUAUCUUCAAGGGCGGGAAACUGAAGAAGGGCAAGAAGGGCUCGAAGGAUACGUCCUUCGACAGCAGCGACGAAGAAGCAAAGACCGGCGCGAUAAAGGCUCCUGAACAGCUGGCGGAGCAGCCUGCCGACAAGAUCGCGGAUUCUCGUUUCGAUAGCGUGCUUCCGGAAAUCAUGGUCGCGCCCGACGUGAAGUCGGCCACCAUGGAGUUUCUCGAUGACUCCAGGCGAGUCGCUGCGGGCAUGCACGCGCUCUACGAAGGUCCCAGUAAAGCGGAGGACGCCGUGAAAGAAGAGACGAAGACCGAGACCGUCGAAAGCAGCGGCGAUGACGACGGCAAAGACAAAGCCGGCUUCUUCUCGAGUCUGUUCAAGAGCAAAACCAAGAAGGAUGAGACCGCCGACGGGACGGUGAUCCCCGUGAUCCACGUGGAGAAGCCGAAAGAGACUGCGGAGCAGAUCGCAAAGAAGGAGAAGAAGAAGCUGGCGGCGCUCGUGAAGGAGACCGAAGAGCAGCUGGAACAGCAGCUGCGCGAGAAGGCGAAGGACGAGACGGCCAAGGUCACCGAUGUGACCCUGCCGAGCGCGACUGUCGAGAAGCAGGUGGAGAAAGCCGUGAAGAACGGCACGAAGGCCGUCGAAGAUGCGAAGAGCAAGGUCGUCACGUCGAUCACAGACGAGCAACCGCGCGGCAAGGACGACGAAAAGGACGAGGAGGCAAAGGAGAAGAGCGGCUUCUUUGGCAUCUUCAAGAGCCCGAAAUCUCGAGAGAAGCGGCUCGGCAAGUCAAAGGAGACGUCCUUCGACAGCGGCGAUGAGGAGAUCCGGGUCGUCACGGAAAAGUUGUUGGACGACACACGGAAGAUCGCCGACGUCAGCGUCGUCCCGGUUGCGUACAAAACUGAUGGCACCAAAGUCACUCCGCAGGAAGAGGUGCGCACCUUCACCUCGGCCACGUUCUACGACGCCGACACGCCGGCCGACAAGACCGGUAAGUCCUAUGACGUGAUGCAAACGAAGACGACGAUCGAGAGGAUCGUAAUUCGCGAGGAGAUGAACGGGAAGGCAGACAUCGACAAGGAAAAGGAUCAGAAAGUAGACGCCAAAGCAGAUGCCGAGAAGGUCGUCUCGGAGGUGAAACCCGAAAGCACGGAACCGAAAGUGCCCGAGGAGGAGGCUGCCGAUGAAGUCGGCAAAGAGAAGAGCGGCGGCUUCUUCGGCAUGUUUAAGAGCCCGAAGCUGAAGAGCAAGAAGCGCAGCAGGUCCCGUGAGCAGAGUUCGUCGAAGGAGACCUCCUUCGACAGUGGGGACGAGGAGGUUCGCUUGGCGAACUUCGCGAAAGUACUGGAGGACACCAGACAGAUGGCGGACAGCAUGCAGCAACCGUCUGAAGAAAAGAUACUGGAGCAAGAGGUGUCUGCGCUCGUUAAGACCGCCCUGGAGCAAAUCAUGCAAGAGGAGCUGAAGAAGACCAGCACCUGCGAGGACGAGGCUACUGAGAAGGAGAAGGGAAGCGGCAUCUUCGGUAUAUUCCGAAGCCCCAAGCAGGCGAGAAGCUCCAGAAGCAGGUCCAAAGAGAAGACCCCGUCGCUGGAGUUACCGGACAGCGGCCAGGAGGACAUGCGAGAGGUAACGGCGAAGUUCCUGGAAGACUCGCGCAACAUGGCGCUUGCCACCGGCAAACCGACGGACGACAAAUCGACCAAGGACGCGAAAAAGUUUGAACAGCACGUUGCUGUUGCUGUAGAUGAUGUCGGGAAAGCCAUGAAGGAUGGCAAAGACGCGCUUGCCAGGAAAAUGGACGAAAAGACGUCAGACGCGGUCGACGCCGCCGAAGCAGCUAAAGACAAGACAACGAAGGAGGCGAAGAAAGCGAAGGAGAAGGGCGCGGGCUUCUUGUCGGGCAUCUUCAAGGGCACGAAACACGCCAUUGAGGACGCGACGGACGACGUAAAAGAGUUCUUGGACGAGACGAAGAAAGAAGCCGCUCUGGAGGAGGCACGAGCGAAAGAAGCGACAGCCGCUGGCGUGAAAGAAUUGGAGCAGAAGAAAGAUGCCAUGGUGACUGGCGCGAAAGAGGCCGUUGACAAGGCAGCGGCGGACGCCAAGGAUGUCAAGGACAAGACAGUAUCGACAGUGAAGGAGAAGAAGGAGAAGGCCGUGGAAAAAGUGUCGAAGGACGCGGAGAAGGCGGCGGACCUCGCGAAAGCUGCCGCUGACCAAGCGACUGCAGACGCGAAGAAAGUCAGCGAAAAAGUGGGAGCGACCGCAAAGGACGUUGCUCAAGCUAGCAAAGAUAUCAAAGAAGCAGUCACUGCGGAGGCAAAAGAGGAUGCGAAGAUCGCUAAGGAGAAGUUAUCCUCCGCCGCUGAGGCCUCUGCGGACGCCGCAGCGGCUGCGAAAGACAAAGCCGCCAAGGAGGCGAAGAAAGCGAAAGAAAAGGGCAGCGGAUUCUUCUCGGGUAUAUUCAAAGGUGCGAAACACGCCACGGAGGAUGUAACAGACGACGUGAAGGAGUUUUUGGAUGAAACGAAGAAGGAGGCUCAAAUAGAAGAAAAGCGCGCCAAAGAGAAGGCAGCAGCUGGUCUCAAGGACUUGAAGGAUAAGAAAGACGCUGCGGUAAGCGGAGCUCAAGAAGCAGCAGAGAAAGUCGCGGCUGACGUGAAAGAUGCUAAGGAUAAGACAGUAGCUGCUCUGAAGGAGAAGAAGGACAAAGUCGCGGAAGAAGUAUCGAAGGACACUCAGAAAGUCACCGAUACUACCAAAGCAGCUGGUGAGAAAGUGACGGAGGAAACGAAGAAAAUUGGUGAAAAAAUCAGCGCCACUGCUGUUGCUGUAGCAAAGGGUGCUAAGGAUACCAAGGACGCAGCAGUUAAAGAGGUGAAGGACGAUGCGAAAUUGGCGAAGGAGAAGCUAGAAGCGGGCGCAGAAGCCGUUGCGGAAAGUGCAGAGAGUGCGAAGGAUAAGGCGAGCAAGGAAGCGAAGAAAGCUAAAGAGAAGACCAGCGGAUUCUUCUCCGGGAUAUUUAAAGGCGCGAAACACGCUGUGGAAGACGCUACAGACGACGUUAAAGAGUUCUUGGAUGAAACAAAGAAGGAAGCUCAAUUAGAAGAAGAACGUACUAAAGAAAAAGCUGCGGCAGGUCUCAAAGACUUGAAGGAUAAGAAAGAGACUGUUGUAAGCGGAACUCAAGAAGCUGUAGGGAAAGUUGCAGUUGACGUGAAAGAUGCUAAGGAUAAGACAGUAGCUGCUUUGAAGGAGAAGAAGGGCAAAGUCGCGGAAGAAAUAUCGAAGGACACUCAGAAAGUCACCGAUACUACCAAAGCAGCUGGUGAAAAAGUGGCGGAGGAAACGAAGAAAAUUGGUGAGAAAAUCAGCGCCACUGCUGCUGAUGUAGCGAAGGGUGCUAAGGAUACCAAGGACGCAGCAGUUAAAGAAGUGAAAGACGAUGCGAAAUUGGCGAAAGAGAAAUUAGUCGCAGGCGCUGAGGCUGUCGCAGAAACAGCGGAAGCAGCAAAAGACAAAGCGAGCAAGGAAGCCAAGAAAGCUAAAGAGAAAACCAGUGGGUUCUUCUCUGGGAUAUUUAAAGGCGCGAAACAUACCGUAGAAGACGCAACCGAUGAUGUCAAGGAGUUUUUGGAUGAGACAAAGAAGGAAGCUCAGUUGGAAGAAGAACGUGCCAAGGAAAAGGCCGCUGCUGGACUCAAAGACUUGAAGGAUAAGAAGGAUGCUGUUGUGAGUGGGGUACAAGAAGCAGCAGACAAAGCUGUUGCUGGUGCCAAGGAUGCCAAGGACAAAACAGUUUCCGCUGUUAAAGAUAAGAAAGACAAAAUUGCAGAGGAGGUGUCAAAAGAUGCCCAGAAAGUCACCGACACCACAAAGGCUGCUGGUGAGAAAGUGGCGGAGGAAACGAAGAAGAUUAGUGAAAAAAUCAGCGCUACUGCUGCUGAUGUAGGAAAGGGCGCUAAGGAUACCAAGGACGCAGCAGUUAAAGAGAUAAAAGACGAUGCAAAAUUGGCGAAGGAGAAAUUGUCAGCAGGCGCUGAGGCUGUCGCAGGAACAGCUGAUGGAGCGAAGGAUAAGGCGACGAAGGAAGCCAAGAAAGCUAAAGAGAAGACCAGUGGUUUCUUUUCCGGAAUCUUCAAGGGAACCAAGCAUGCUGUUGAAGAUGCGGUUGAUGAUAUGAAGGAAUUCGUGGACGAGAGUAAGAAGGAAGCUGCUUUGGAAGAAGAGCGUGCUAAAGAAAAGGCCGCUGCGGGUCUUAAGGAUUUAAAGGAUAAGAAAGAUGCUGUCGUUAGCGGAACUCACGAAGCUGCAGAAAAAGUUGCAGCUGAUGUGAAAGACGCCAAGGACAAAACGGUAUCUGCCGUAAAAGAUAAAAAGGACAAAGUUGUGGAGGAAAUUUCGAAGGAUACCCAGAAGAUUGCUGACACUAGUAAAGCGGCUGGUGAAAAAGUGGCGAUCGAGACGAAGAAGAUCGCUGAGAAAGUAGGAUCAGCCGCAGCUGAUGUUGCGCAAGGCGCAAAGGACACCAAGGAUGCAGCAAUGAAGGAGGUGAAGGAAGAUGCGAAAUUGGCAAAAGAGAAAUUGGCAGCAGGCGCUGAGGCUGUCGCGGAAUCCGCAGAGGCUACUAAGGAUAAGGCCAGCAAGGAAGCGAAAAAAGCCAAGGAGAAGACUAGUGGUUUCUUCUCCGGAAUCUUCAAGGGAGCCAAGCAUGCAGUUGAAGAUGCGACUGAUGACAUGAAGGAAUUCCUGGACGAGACUAAGAAGGAAGCUCAAUUGGAGGAACAGCGGGCAAAAGAAAAGGUUGCUACUGGAGUCACGAACUUGAAGGAUAAAAAGGAUGCUGUCGUAAGUGGAGUCCAAGAAGCCGGUGAUAAGGUUGCCGCUGAUGUAAAAGACGCCAAGGAUAAAACAGCUGCUGCUGUCAAAGAUAAAAAAGACAAGAUUGCGGAGGAAGUCUCUAAGGGUGCUGAGAAGGCAGCCGACGUCACGAAAGCAGCUGGCGAGAAGGUAAUCUCGACUGCUGCGGAUGUAGCGCAAGGAGUCAAAGACACUAAGGAAGCAGCUGUUAAAGAGAUCAAAGAGGAUGCGAAACUAGCGAAGGAAAAAUUGACGGCUGGCGCUGAUGUCGUGGCUGAUGCCGCGGAUACUGCCAAAGAUAAGGCGAAGAAAGCCAAAGAGAAAGGUUCUGGCUUCUUUUCCGGCAUCUUCAAGGGCGCGAAACACGCUGCGGAGGACGUAAGUGAAGACAUCAAGGAACAUGCGGUCGACGCAAAGAAGGAAGCAGCUGAAGGAUUAGAGGAUUUGAAGCGUAAAAAAGACACUGUAGUAGACAGUGCCAAGGACAUCGUGGAUAAAGCAGCUGAGGGUGCAAAAGACGCCAAGGACAAGACAGUUUCAGCCGCGAAAGAGACGAAGGAUAAGAUCGUGGACACAGUCGCUAAGGACGCGGAAAAAGUGACGGUCACCUUGAAGGCAGCCGGCGAUGAUGUAACCACGAAAGUAAAGGAAAUCGGUUACAAAGCGGAAACCACAGCGGCUGACGUAGGCCGCGGUGUGAAAGACGCCAAGGAUUCGGUCGUCGCGGAAGCGAAACAAGACGCCAAAGUGGCGAAGGAGAAAUUGGCCGCCGGAGUUGAGUCCGUCGCGGACACAGCGGAAGCUGCCAAGGACAAGACAGCUAAGGAAGCGAAAAAGGCCAAAGAAAAGACUAGUGGUUUUCUCUCAGGGAUAUUCAAAGGAUCCAAGCACUCCGUAGAUAGCACUGCGGAGGACGUGAAGGAAUUCUUGGAAGAGACCAAAAAGGAAGCUGCAUUGGAACAAGCGCGCGUCAAAGAGGCAGCGGAAGCUGAACUGAAGGACCUGGAGCGCAAGAAAGAUAGUGCUGUUGCUGAUGUGAAAGAGGCGAAGGAUCUUACAACUGAAAAGAUAGCCGAGAAAAUCAGCAAAGCUGCUGAUGCAACCAAAGCGACAGGAGAAAAAGCAGUAGCUGAUACCAAACAACUUGCUAGCGAUAUCGCGCAAGGUAUUGCGGAAACUAAGGAUGGCAUAACGAAAGAAUUGAAAGAGGACGCAAAAACAACGAAAGACAAAAUCAAAGCAGGUGGCGAUGCAGUGGUAGACAGCGCUGUAGCUACGAAGGAUAAAGCAACGAAAGAAGCGAAGAAGGCUAAGGAGAAGGGUAGUGGCUUUCUUUCAGGAAUAUUCAAGAGCGCAAAACACUCCGCAGAAGAAGUAUCCGACGAUGUGAAGGAAUUUCUAGAUGAGACUAAGAAAGAAGCUGCAAUGGAGGAAGAACGUGCCAAGAAAAAAGCCACUGCUGGUCUCAAAGAUCUAAAGGAUAAAAAAGAUGCUGUUGUGAGCGGAGUACAGGAGACCGCUGAUAAAGCCGCUAUCGAAAUGAAAGAUGCGAAGGAUAAAACAGUAUCUGCUAUGAAAGACAAAAAGGACAAAAUUGUGGAAGAAAUUUCCAAGGACGCCCAAAAGGUUGCCGAUACUACGAAGGCAACCGGAGAGAAAAUUGCAACAGAAACGAAAAAGGCCGGAGAAAAAAUUGGAUCAGCUGCAGCAGGCGUCGUGCAAGGUGUUAAGGACACUAAGGACGCAGCAGUUAAAGAGGUGAAAGGUGAUACGGAAUUGGCGAAAGAGAAAUUAGCUGCAGGUGCUGAGGCUGUUGCAGAAACAGCGGAGGCAACAAAAGAUAAGGCGAGCAAGGAAGCCAAGAAAGCUAAAGAGAAGACCAGUGGGUUCUUCUCCGGGAUAUUCAAAGGCGCGAAACACACCGUAGAAGACGCAACCGACGAUGUCAAGGAAUUUUUGGAUGAGACAAAAAAGGAAGCUCAACUGGAAGAAGAACGUGCCAAGGAAAAGGCUGCUGCUGGACUCAAAGAUAUGAAGGAUAAGAAGGAUGCUAUUGUGAGUGGAGUACAAGAAGCAGCAGACAAAGCUGUUGCAGGUACCAAGGAUGCUAAGGACAAGACAGUUUCCGCUGUUAAAGACAAGAAAGACAAAAUUGCAGAGGAGGUGUCAAAGGAUGCCCAGAAAGUCGCCGACACCACAAAGGCAGCUAGUGAGAAAAUGGUGGAAGAAACGAAGAAGAUUAGUGAAAAAAUUAGCGCAACUGCCGCUGAUGUAGUGCAGGGCGCUAAGGAUACCAAGGACGCAGCAGUUAAAGAGGUGAAGGACGAUGCAAAAUCGGCGAAGGAGAAAUUGUCAGCAGGCGCUGAGGCUGUUGCAGAAACAGCUGAUGGAGCGAAGGAUAAGGCGACGAAGGAAGCCAAGAAAGCUAAAGAGAAGACCAGUGGUUUCUUUUCCGGAAUCUUCAAAGGAGCCAAGCAUGCUGUUGAAGAUGCGGUUGAUGACAUGAAGGAAUUUGUGGACGAGAGUAAGAAGGAAGCUGCUUUGGAAGAAGAGCGUGCUAAAGAAAAGGCCGCUGCGGGUCUUAAGGAUUUAAAGGAUAAGAAAGAUGCUGUCGUUAGCGGAACUCACGAAGCUGCAGAAAAAGUUGCAGCUGAUGUGAAAGACGCCAAGGACAAAACGGUAUCUGCUGUAAAAGAUAAAAAGGACAAAGUCGUGGAGGAAAUUUCGAAGGAUACCCAGAAGAUUGCUGACACUACUAAAGCGGCUGGUGAAAAAGUGGCGAUCGAGACGAAGAAGAUCGCUGAGAAAGUAGGAUCAGCCGCAGCUGAUGUUGCGCAAGGCGCUAAGGACACCAAGGAUGCAGCAGUGAAGGAGGUGAAGGAAGAUGCGAAAUUGGCAAAAGAGAAAUUGGCAGCUGGCGCUGAGGCUGUCGCGGAGUCCGCAGAGGCUACUAAGGAUAAGGCCAGCAAGGAAGCGAAAAAAGCCAAGGAGAAGACUAGUGGUUUCUUCUCCGGAAUCUUCAAGGGAGCCAAGCAUGCAGUUGAAGAUGCGGCUGAUGACAUGAAGGAAUUCCUGGACGAAACUAAGAAGGAAGCUCAAUUGGAGGAACAGCGGGCAAAAGAAAAGGUUGCCACAGGUGUCAAGGAUUUAAAGGAUAAAAAGGACGCUGCCGUCGCCGGAGUUCAAGAGUCUGUAGAGAAGGCAGCUGCUGAUGUAAAGGAUGCAAAAAGCAAAACAGUUUCCACUAUUAAGGAGAAGAAGGAUAAAGUUGUUGAGGAAGUUUCCGAAGAUGCCCAGAAGGUUGCCGAUAUUACGAAAGCAGCAGGUGAGAAAGUGUCAACGGAGACGAAGAAAGUCAGUGAGAGAAUAGGAGCCGCAGCUGCAGACGUUACUCAGGGAGUCAAGGACGCCAAGGAUACGGCGGUAAAGGAAGUGAAGGAAGACACCAAAUUGGCGAAGGAGAAAUUGGCUGCUAGCUCUGAGGCUGUCGCAGAAACCGCGGAAGAUGUAAAAGAUAAAGCGAAGAAAGCCAAAGAGAAAGGAAGUGGUUUCUUCUCGAGCAUCUUCAAAGGCGCGAAGCACACCGCUGAUGAGAUAGUUGACGACACGAAGGAUCUCGUUGACGACGUGAAGAAGGAAGCGGCUUCCGAAGGUGAACGCGUGAAAAAAAUGGCAGAAUCUGGCUUGGAAGAUUUGAAGGACAAGAAAGACAGUGCAAUCGACAGCAUGAAGGAGGCGAAAGACGACGCUAAAACAGCUGUGAAGGACGCAUCGGAUAAGGUGGCAGAAAAAUUAUCUGAUGGUGUCCAUAAGGCUUCCGAAGGCGUGAAAGACGUGAGUGGCAAGCUGGCGGCCGAUGUGAAGGAAGCCGGCGAGAAGACAAAGUCAGCCGGACGAGAUUUCGUGGAAGAUGCUAAGGAUACUAAGGAUGCGAUUGCAAAGAAGGUGAAGGAGGACGCGCAGGCAGGAAAGGAGAAGUUAACAGCUGGGGCGGAGGUUGUCGCCGACAAGGCGGAAACGGCCAAGGACAAGGUCGCCAAGGAAGCGAAGAAGGCCAAGGACAAGGGUAGCGGUUUCCUUUCGGGCAUGUUCAAAGGUGCAAAGCAGAGUGCCGAGAGUGCGACUGACGAUGUGAACAAAUUCUUAGACGAAAUGCGCAGGGACGCGACGUUGGAGCAAGAACGUGCGAAGGAGGCAGCGGCGGAAGGCUUGAAAAACCUGGAACACAAGAAGGAUACCGUGGUGAGUGGUGUAAAAGAUACAGCUGAUCGAGCUGUUGCUAGCGUAAAGGAUGCCAAGGAUAAGACCGUAGCAGCUGUGAAAGACACAAAGGAUAAGAUCGCAGAGAAAGUGUCGGAGGACAUCGACAAAGCUUCUGAUGCUAUGAAAGCUGCCAAGGCCAAAGUGGCAUCAGAAACGAAAGAGGUUGGUGAAAAGAUCGACUCAACAGCACGCGACGUGGCUCAAGGAGUCGUGGAUGUCAAAGACGCAGCUGUCAAGGAAGUUCAAGACGAUGCAAAGAUGGUGAAAGACAAAGUAGCAGCCGGUGCUGAAGCAGUAGCCGAAGGCGCCCACACUGCUAAGGAUAAAGCUAGCAAGGAAACGAAGAAGGCUAAGGAAAAGGGAUCUGGCUUCUUGUCAGGUAUCUUUAAAGGCGCAAAACAUGCCGUAGAUGAUGCAACCGACGACAUGAAGGAGUUUUUGGAGGAAACGAAGAAAGAAGCUCAGGCAGAAGAACAACGGGCCAAGGAAAGAGCCGCUGCUGGUCUCAAGGACUUGAAGGAUAAAAAGGAUGCGGUUGUUAGUGGAGUCCAAGAGUCGGCAGACAAAGUUAUUACUGACGUGAAAGAUGCAAAGGAUCAAACGGUUUCUGCUGUCAAAGAGAAGAAGGACAAGGUCGUGGAGAGUGUGGCGAAAGACACCCAGAAGGUUGCCGACACCACGAAGGCGGCUAGCGAAAAAGUAGCAGAGGAAACGAGAAAGAUCGGCGAGAAGAUCAGCGUAACUGCCGCGGAUGUAGCGCAGGGAUCCAAAGACACCAAGGAUGCAGCGAUUAAGGAAGUGAAGGAAGAUGCCAAAUUGGCGAAAGAUACGUUGGCAGCCGGAGUCGGUGCCGUGGCCGACAGUGCUGAAGCUGCCAAAGACAAGACAACGAAGGAAGUGAAGAAGGCUAAGGAGAAAGGAGCCGGUUUCCUGUCUGGCAUAUUCAAAGGUACGAAACAUACCGUGGAAGAAGCAGCCGACGAUGUGAAGGAGUUCUUGGAUGAAACGAAGAAAGAAACUCAACUGGAAGAGCAGCACAUCAAAGAAAAGGCAGCAGCUGGUCUCAAGGACUUGAAAGAUAAAAAAGACGCUGCCGUAAGCGGAGCUCAAGAAGCCGCAGAGAUAGUCGCGGCUGACAUGAAGGAUGCUAAGGAUAAGACAGUAGCUGCUGUGAAGGAGAAGAAGGACAAAGUCGCGGAAGAAGUAUCGAAGGACACUCAGAAGGUCACCGAUACUACCAAAGCAGCUGGUGAGAAAGUGACGGAGGAAUCGAAGAAAAUUGGCGAAAAAAUCGGCACUGCUGCGGCGGAAGUUGCGCAAGGUGCUAAGGAUCUCAAAGAUGCAGCGGUGAAAGAAGUUAAAAAAGAUACGAAAGUGGUGAAGGACAAACUGGCAGCUGGGUCCGCAGCAGUAGCUGACGGUGCGGAAGCAGUCAAAGACAAGGCAUCUAAAGAAGCGAAGAAGGCUAAGGAAAAGGGUUCUGGCUUCCUGUCGGGCAUAGUCAAGGGCGCGAAACAUGCCGUCGAGAGCGCCAAAGGCGACGUCAAGGAUUUCCUGGACGAGACAAAGCACGAAGCUGAAUUGGAGGAAGCUAGUGCCAAGGAGGCUGCAGCGGCCAGUCUGAAAGAGCUGGAGCAUAAAAAGGACGCUGUUAUCAGUGGCGUUAAGGACGCAGCCGAUCGAACUGUCGCUGGAGUGAAGGAUGCCAAAGAGAAGACUGUAACAGCUGCAAAGGACACGAAAGAUAAAGUCACCGAGAAGGUGUCCGAGGAUUUGGACAAGGCCGCUGGAGCGGCCAAGGCAGCUAAGGACAAGAUGACUUCAGGUGCCAAGACAGUCGGUGAGAAGCUAGAGUCCACGGCACACGACAUCGCACAGGGUACCGCUGACGCUAAGGACGCAGCAGUCAAGGAGAUUCAGGACGACGCGAAGAUAGUAAAAAGCAAGAUGGCGGCUGGUGUCGAAGCCGUAGCCGACGGUGCGGACGCAGCCAAGGAUAAAGCGACUAAGGAAGCAAAGAAGGCUAAAGAAAAAGGCUCUGGCUUCUUGUCAGGCAUAGUCAAGGGCGCGAAACACGCUGUCGAGAGUGCCAAAGACGACGUCAAGGAGUUCCUGGACGAAACGAAACAUGAAGCUGAAUUGGAGGAAGCUCGUGCCAAGGAGGCAGCGGCAGCCGGAUUGAAGGAACUGAAGGACAAGAAGGAUAGCGUGGUCGCCGAUACGAAAGAGAUGAAAAACAAGAUGGCCAAAGAAGCGGGAAAAGCCGCGGACGCGACGAAGGCCACGGUGCAGAAACUGGCAAGCGAAACCCAGAAAGCUGGUGAAAAAGUAGAAAUCAAAGCGACAGAGGUCGCGCAUGAUAUCAAGGACGCCAAGGAGAGUCUGGGCAAGAAGUUCGAGGAAGACACGAAGGCAGUGAAGGACAAGUUAGCGACGAGCGCUGAAGCCGUUGCGGACGGUGCCAAAGCGGCCAAGGACCAGCUGGCGAAAGACGCCAAGAAGACGAAGGAUAAGAGCUCGGAUUUCCUAACUGGGGUAGUCCAAGGUGCGCAGCAGGCGAAACAAGACCUUACCGGCGACUUGAAGGAUUUCUUGGAGAUGACGAGACAAGAAGCAGCCAUUGAUGAGGCUCUCGCUAGAGAGGCCGCGACGGCGAGACUGCAGGAGCUCGGGCAAACGAAGGACGCCAAGGAGAAGACCGGUAAAGUAGUCGAAGAGAUUACGCACGUCACAAAGAUAGCGGUCGAGAAAGCCAAGUCCAGCGGUGAAGACGCGGCGCAGAAGGCUAAACGCGCCAAGGACGCUGUCGUAAGCGAAGUGAAGGACGACGCGAAAGUCGUCAAGGAGAAAUUAAUAGCCGUCGCCGACGGUGCGGAGGCCGCCAAGGACAAGAGCGUGAAGGAGACGAAGAAGGCGAAACAAAAGGCCGGAGGCUUCCUAUCGGGCGUAGUGAAGAGCGCCAAACACGCAGUAGAGGGCGCCACUGACGACAUGCGAGACUUCUUGCAGGAGACGAAGCAGGAAGCGAUCGCGGAAGAGGCUCGCGCGAAAGAAAGAGUCGCGGCGAAGCCGGCUAAGAGCGACGCGAAGGACAAGUCCAACGGCGCUGUGAAAGACGCCAAGAGGAAGGUCUCCCCGAGAGUCCCCAAGCUCGAGAGCGCGAGAUCCUUGUCGACGUCGUCGUCGUCGUCGUCGUCGUCAACGCUGACAGACGCGCGCGUAGGUGGUCACCGCGAGGUCGCGUCGGCGUCCGAGCGCGUUCAGGAUAUAGUCGGCCGCGACUCCGAGGCCGCCAGGCUGGAGAAGUCGGCCCCCGCCGACGUCGAGCAUUUAUCCGAAUCAGUUAGGGUUAAGAGAGUCUCUCGCAUUCCACAAAAGAUUAGUCCGGCUAAGGAUAUCGGGACCGGGGCCGGCGGUCACACGUUGGCCACCGCGUCGGACGAUUCAGGGUCGGGUUCGGGUUCGGCUUCGGGUUCGAGUAGGUUAGAGGCAGUAUCUAUGGUAGGGCACCCCGAGCCUCACACACGGCACACCGUCACCACAGUCGUGACAAAGUCUGUGCGAACGACCCCACCACCACCCGGUCUCGCCGAGUUCAGUGACAGUAGAACCGAAGACGUGACCGAAGAGGCUGCGAGGCGGGCGCAGAAUCUGGCGGGACAGGCGUACGUGUCGAGCAAAGCAGUGGCAGAAACGCACGGUACAGUACGGUCCGUUCGCUCGGCCGGUGCGAUAGAAGCGAAGACUAGGACGAAGACACCUGGUAGAGCCAGCUGCGUGUGUUGGAUGAGCAUAGCCGUCGCUGCGUUGGCGCUUCUAGUAGCGCUUAUACUUGCCCUGGAGCCACAAACGUUCCAACGUGUCAUCCACACCCUGUCUAACAAUGCCCCGAGGCAAGCCGGAAUCUGACUUUUUGCAACAUAGCGAGCCAUCCUUCAUGGAAACGACAACGAUCGAGGUGGAUCCUGUCACGCAGGAAAGUAUAACGACGACCACACGAACGGAGACGAGAACAA
rnacentral:misc_RNA from 1 species